AGUCCUUGAGAUUGGGAUUUCCUUCAACUCGUGCAACCAUCAGGUUGAGAAACCAUGGCUCUCCGUUCCGUGUAGUUUGCAUCGACUACCCUCGCCCGCAGCUUGAAAACACUGUUAAUUUCCUUGAAGCUGCUUACUUGUCUUCCACCUUUCGUGCUUCUCCGCGUCCAGCAAAACCCUUGAAGGUCGUUAUUGCUGGUGCAGGUAGGUAACAAGAGUUUAAAGCUUACAUGCCCAUUUCAUUUAAUUCAUCACAAUUGUAUCUUUCUUCCAAAGUUUUGCUUUUUCUUGCUUUAGUUCUACUGGGUGUUUUCAGAAUGAUAGCUCAAGUGGUAAGAGUUAGAUAAGGGAGGUCCAGAGAUCCGUUCCUGGAGGGUGCAAUUUAUUUUUUCGAUGUAAAAAAAAAAUAUUAUGACAUGUUACAUUGAUACUGGCUCAUCACUUGUUAGAGUAACUGUCCCCGAAGAUUAGCUUAAGUGGUAAGAGCUAGGGGACAUGAGUAGGAUGAAGGGUGAAGGGUCCAGUGUUCGAAUCCUCAGAAAGCCUAAUUUACUAACAUUACUAACGACUAACAUUUGCCUUAAAAGAAGUCUAAUUGUGACAGUUCAGUGUUAGUAAUGGAAAAAAAAGCUUUGGAAUUUUAGUAUCUUCAAUGGUAAUUAAUAUGUGUGCCCUAUUUGGUUUAAUGUGUAUUUUAAAUCAUCCCAGGAUUGGCUGGUUUAUCAACUGCAAAAUAUUUGGCAGAUGCUGGUCAUAAGCCUAUAUUGCUGGAAGCAAGAGAUGUUCUAGGUGGAAAGGUUUUCCUGCUAAUUUAAUCCCAUUUUCAUUAUGUUGUUGCUUAGUGCUGCUUUUGUUCAACAUUUUAGCUUGUCAUUUAUUAAAUAGGAAGCUUUUAAUUACUUGAAUGCUCAAUCAUAAUCUAAUGGGUGUAUUGGUUUUAUAUGACCAAUAACUCGAGUUCUUGUUUUAUGAAUUGAUUUUCUGAGACAUUGAAGUGGUAAUUUAGAAUAUCAUCUUCAGGGAGGCUCGUUAAAGAUGACCACCAUACACACAACUUAUUUAUUAGUAUAAUUCAAUUUAAUGCAUUGUGUAUUCACACGAUUAUCUCGUUUUCUAAGGUUGCUGCGUGGAAAGAUGAGGAUGGAGAUUGGUACGAGACAGGCCUACACAUAUUCUGUAAGUUCAUUAAAAUCCCUGGCCUAACCUUUUUCUGUAUUAUAUUUGUUAAUUUAAUUGAUUAUAUUUUCUAUAAAAAGAAUUUGCAGAGAUAAAUUCUGAUUGACCUCUAUUUUACGGAGACGAAAAACACAUUUAUGAAUAAAAGAAAUUCUGAAAAUAAAUGAAUAGAUAACAAGCACCGCUAGUAUUGGAAAGUGCAUUAAGUUUAGAGUGACGUAUAUGUCACUUAAAUGCAAUCCCUAUCCUACCCCUCAUAUCCCUCAUGCAUACAAAGUGCAAAACGUAAAUAACAAGAAAGACAAAGGGCAUUGUGACCAAUUUAAACGGAUAGGACGAAAUUUGUCCUCACCUUCUUCACUAUCCAAACAAGAAUAUUCGGAAAACACAAAUAUUAACAUUACAAUUUACAACAACUAAUGAUUUGUUCACACUUCAUUUUCUCUCCCAUCACAUUUUCACACAUUUUUUUUCUUAUUUAUCUCUGCAUUUCUUAUCACAUCACAUACUAUAUUACUCAUUUUUUAUCAUCUCUUCAUAUUUAUCAAAGGUGGAGGUGAAAAAAAAUCGUAAAUAGAAGAUUAUUUAUUCAAUUUACAACCCCCACACCCAAACACCAAAUAGUACAAAAUAUUAGUGGCGUGUUGCUUUCUCCACCAAACAAAUGCUUCCUUCCCACCAUUACCAUUUCCAUUAGCCAACACAACACAACACAACACACUUCCCAAUUAGUAUCCAACCUUUCAUGUUUCCUUUCUCUUCAUCAACUAUUCAAGUUGCUAUAAGCUUUAUUUGAUUCAUCAAAUUGUUUAUUCUUUUGGCUCAAAUGGCUGGUUGUGGAAUUUUAUCUGCAGUGAACUUGAAUUAUCAUGCUGGAGCAAGAAACACAAUCAAAUUGGGUUCUUCUUCUUCUUCUUCUUCUUCUACUGAUAGCUCAAUUUCUCUAUCAUUUGGUGGAAGUGAGUCCUUGAGAUUGGGAUUUCCUUCAACUCGUGCAACCAUCAGGUUGAGAAACCAUGGCUCUCCGUUCCGUGUAGUUUGCAUCGACUACCCUCGCCCGCAGCUUGAAAACACUGUUAAUUUCCUUGAAGCUGCUUACUUGUCUUCCACCUUUCGUGCUUCUCCGCGUCCAGCAAAACCCUUGAAGGUCGUUAUUGCUGGUGCAGGUAGGUAACAAGAGUUUAAAGCUUACAUGCCCAUUUCAUUUAAUUCAUCACAAUUGUAUCUUUCUUCCAAAGUUUUGCUUUUUCUUGCUUUAGUUCUACUGGGUGUUUUCAGAAUGAUAGCUCAAGUGGUAAGAGUUAGAUAAGGGAGGUCCAGAGAUCCGUUCCUGGAGGGUGCAAUUUAUUUUUUCGAUGUAAAAAAAAAAUAUUAUGACAUGUUACAUUGAUACUGGCUCAUCACUUGUUAGAGUAACUGUCCCCGAAGAUUAGCUUAAGUGGUAAGAGCUAG
rnacentral:lncRNA from 1 species